AAGGGUGAUGAAAAUUUUAUAUAGAAAAGGAUGUCAUGUAGCAAGACUGACUUUAUUUUAUUAAAAAAAAACAAAAACGAGGGAUUUUCAUAGUAACUAUUAUAAGCUAUUUAUUAUAAAUAGAACAGAAAUUAUGUGUACUAUUUGGAUUCGAUGCUAUUGUAAUUUUUUUUAGAAAAUUAUUAUUUUAAAGCCUGUCUUAAGUUAGGAAAUUGCUAGUUCAGUGAUGAAAAUAAAGCUCAAGACGUUCCUUGUUAAUCGGAAGAGAAUUCUAGUUGUGCUUAGAAAGUCUAACUGAAGAAGUUGCUACAAGUUAAACGGAAGCCGUUGCUACUUCGCUAAACAUAUAACAGAAGAUGUUGCUGCAAUAUAAGAAUACGCAAAUGUUAAGCAGAAAACGAAUUAGCUGUUAAUCUGAGACAGUUGCGAGCUUGUAGCAUAAGGCUUAGACUAGAUGCUCGGCUACGUGUAUGUGCCUGAGCGAGAUGGAGAAAGAAAGCAAAGCAUUUUCAAAAAUUAAAGCAACAACAACGUGCAUGCAUAUUGAUCGAGUAUAAAGAGGAGCAAACGUUAAGCAGAUGAGCAUGCUGCAUAGUUUAUGUCUAUUAGAAGUUGCUACUGUGUUGAAAUAAGUGAAACGUUUCCCGAAGAAAGGGUGAUGGAAAUUUUAUAUAGAAAAGGAUGUCAUGUAGCAAGAAUGACUUUAUAUUAUUAAAAAAAAAAACAAAAACGGGGGAUUCUCAUAGUAACUAUUAUAAGCUAUUUAUUAUAAAUAGAACAGAAAUUAUGUGUACUAUUUGGAUUCGAUGCUAUUGUAAUUUUUUUUUUAGAAAAUUAUUAUUUUAAAGCCUGUCUUAAGUUAGGAAAUUGCUAGUUCAGUGAUAAAAAUAAAGCUCAAGACGUUCCUUGUUAAUCGGAAGAAAAUUCUAGUUGUGCUUAGAAAGUCUAACUGAAGAAGUUGCUACAAGUUAAA